CUGAGUAUCGGGUCUCUCAGGCCCUUACUCCCACCCUUUUGUUUACUAUACCAAAAUUCAGUUGCCUUGGUGGGAAUCUUUAAUUCUCCCCUUGGAUUUAAUCCUUGGGCAAAGAACCCACCAUUGGAACUCCCUUAAACUCUUAUUAAUUGAGCUGUCUGAGAACAAAAAACAAAUAAAUUA
rnacentral:misc_RNA from 1 species